UCGUAAAGGKKGAUGAGUGGUGUUUGGUUUGUUACGUGUGGUUGGCUGCGGCGUUUGCAACAACUUCCAUGCUUUCAGACCUCUUCAGUUGUGCGGCAAGGCUUGUAUCGCCUUGAGCGUAUUGUGGGUUUUCUGUGUUGGCUACCUAAUCAACGGUAUCGGUUGGAUUGAUCAAAGUUUGAUUUCGUCUUCCGUCGCAUUYGCGGCGUGAGGUGAACCUCGAUGCGGUCUCUUUGAUCCACCUCGUCGAAGCACAUGCUUUGACGUUGUGGCCCAUUGAGCAUUGCUUGGUCUCUUGUAUACGGAACAUAUAGUGGGCAUGGAUCUAACGAUUCUCGUUUGCCCUCAUAUUAGCGUAACGCUUCUCUUACACGACUUGCUCCACGUUUUAGCUCGUACGGACGUGGUGCUAUGUCGAAGAGGAAUGCUACCUGGUUGAUCCUGCCAGUAGUCAUAUGCUUGUCUCAAAGAUUAAGCCAUGCAGGGUGUAAGU
rnacentral:misc_RNA from 1 species